UGGAGCCCUCACGCAGAACCUGGAAUAGGGACUAAUAGACUGGAAUCAGAGCACCUGUGUUAAAUCACACCCAUCAAGGCGCAGUCAGGUGAUCUAAGGCCUCUGCGUGACCUCUCUGUACUUCAGGGAUCGCAUUUGGAUGCGUGUGCAAGCUGUGCUGUAGCCACCUCAGGUCCUGAAUCUUUAGGACUUGCUGGAGUUCAUUGCUGGUCUAUUUUGGCAGCACGAGUGGUGAUGCACACCUGUAAUCUCCGCACUCCCGGACUGGGGGCUGGAGGAUCAAUCAGGUCAUGGUCUCCUGUAUAGUGAGCGAGUUUGGGGUCAGCUUGAAUGAUGAGAUACCCGGUCUGAAAAUAAAGAUGCAAAUUGAUGAGCUGUGGAGCUACACCCGCAUGCAGUUGAGUAAUCACGCAUAUACCCACCUCCCCACAUCCUUCCUGGCUCCCAGGAAGCUCCAGCUGGCUUACAGACUGACUUGUUUUGAGAUAGGGUCUCACUGUGUAGCCCUGACUGGCCUGGAACCCACCGAUCUGCUUGCUUCUGCCUCCUGAGCUGCGUGAUUAAAAGCAUGUGCCACCACA
ensembl:processed_transcript 4933439C10Rik RIKEN cDNA 4933439C10 gene